rnacentral:rRNA from 6 species
GAGCGGCGAACGGGUGAGUAACACGUGAGUAACCUGCCCUUGGCUCUGGGAUAAGCCCGGGAAACUGGGUCUAAUACCGGAUAUGACCCUCCACCGCAUGGUGUGAGGGUGGAAAGUUUUUCGGCUGGGGAUGGACUCGCGGUCUAUCAGCUUGUUGGUGGGGUGAUGGCCUACCAAGGCGACGACGGAUAGCCGGCCUGAGAGGGUGACCGGCCACACUGGGACUGAGACACGGCCCAGACUCCUACGGGAGGCAGCAGUGGGGAAUAUUGCGCAAUGGGCGAAAGCCUGACGCAGCGACGCCGCGUGGGGGAUGAAGGCCUUCGGGUUGUAAACCUCUUUCACCACCGACGAAGCUAACGUGACGGUAGGUGGGGAAGAAGCGCCGGCUAACUACGUGCCAGCAGCCGCGGUAAUACGUAGGGCGCAAGCGUUGUCCGGAAUUAUUGGGCGUAAAGAGCUCGUAGGUGGUUUGUCGCGUCUGCCGUGAAAACCCGAGGCUUAACCUCGGGCUGGCGGUGGAUACGGGCAGACUAGAGGUAGGUAGGGGAGAACGGAAUUCCC